rnacentral:lncRNA from 1 species
UAUAUUGUUUGGACUAAAUAGCUAAUGUCAUCAUAAUAAUAAUAAUCCUGAAUGAUGGUCUUCAAAUGAUUUUCGCAGCUUUUCAUCAUUUUGAAAUCUUCCUGCCGCUAAAUUAUCGAACAUUAGAUUGUAUGACCUGAAAUUAUAAAAUAAUUGUGUUAAAGGACCUGAAAUACCAUCACACACUAUGAUAAAAAAAGAAACAAAAGUGAUUAUCAAGCAUUCAAUUUUAAAGCUAAACACGUCUAAGUAAUUUCUCAAUGCAAAAAGAGCUGGGCAUCAAGAAGUUCAUACAGAAAAAGAAAAUCUGGCUGGACAAUAGAACAUGCAAAUUGAAGGUGGAAAGCAAGUUGUUAUGCAAAAACGUGAAAAUAGAAUUGUUUUGGGUAAUCAUGUUGGUGAUGUUUUAAAUGUUGAGGAAGGUCCAUAUCCGUCUUCUCGAGAUGUGCCUGCUAAGGUGGCUUUAGCAAGGAAUUUUAAUGUUAUCAAUCCAAUUGUCGAAGCUUAUGGCAAAUUGACUAGGGCUGCACCAAUUCUGUCAAGUGAUCCUGGCUCAAAGAAUGUUGCUAAUCGAGUUGAUGCAGCUGUGCAACUGACUGGUGAAACAGAAUAACAAACUUCUAAACAGGAGUAGGUAUUGCAAGGAGGAAAACAAAUGGUUGAUGUGAACAAUGAUAAGGUGGUGAAUCAUGCCAAGUGAAGUUCUUGCUAGUAUUUCAAAGGGCAUGAUGCAAGAGAUAGCUGGGAUUGUUAAAGGUGGUGAUUGUACUGCUGCUCCAUUUCCAGUUGACGUUGGGCAAAAAACUAAUAGUGUAGGUGUGGAUAAAUCUAGAGAUAAUGAGAGGUUGAAGGAUAUCCCUGCUGCUACAAUUUUUUCAAGGAUGCAUUCACAUACUGCUGGUGCAUUGAGGGCUCCUACUGAUCGAGAUUUUAUUGCAAAAAAAUCUUGAUAUGGCUCAACAACAGGUUAAGGUAUCUGGUAAUGGGAAGGAGAUGCAAAAUACUGUGUUGGUGAAGGAUUUAGCUGCUUUGGAAAAGGUUGUUACUGCUGAUAAGGAUGCAACUGGUGUGAAGUAUUUGGAUGGUACAAUUGCUACAGAUGUUGAGGCAGUGGCUAAAGAUCAUACACAACCUCAAGAACCUAUAUCUGUCAGCCUUCUGCUGGUGCACAAACAGCUUGUUUCAUGACUGUAGAUACGGGGCAAGCUUUGGUAUCUAGUGUACAUGACAAGGCUCCACUAGAGAAUAAUGCAGUAGCAAAUCAAACUACUGUGGAGGCCAAUGGUAAGGAGGAUCGGAGAAAAAAUAGUGUACUGGUCAGGAAUGCUGUUGUGGGUGAUCAGCAGUUUUCACAAAUUGAAGGAGGGUUCAAUGUCGUGAAUCCAGUUGUACAUGCUUAUGAUAAGCUGGUUAAGGCUGCAGCUAUAUUGUCAUUUGGUACAGGCUCCAAGAGUAUUACUGCACAUGCUAAGGAAGCUGAUCUCAUUACGAAAAAUCAAAUUGAUGUUAUUGACAAAGAGGUACAACAAGAAUGUGCACAAUUUGAUCGAGCUACCAAUGCCAAAUAUCCUGCAGCAUCAGCAGUUAUAGGACAAAGUAAAAAUUCAAAUUUUGUAGGUUCAUUGUUGGAGAGUAAUGUUGCAUUGAAUGCAGCUGGUGUGAAAAUUGAUGCUGUGAUUACAAAGGCCACUGCUGAAGUUGAGAAACCAACAUAUUUGAAAGGUACUUCUGUGCAAAAGAAGGUACAAGAAUUGGAAGGUGAAGGUGCUUUGGUUCAUAUUGACAAAACUGGAUGUGAACCAGCUAUGCAUACAGAUUCUAAUGAUGUGUUCAAAGCAACAGGUGACCAUGGGGCACUAAGUUAUGGCAAUAAUAAGGCUGUAAAUUUAGAGGCUCAAUAACAAAGGAAACAGAGGAAACAUAGAUUGCAGGUUAUCAGGAAAAACGUGCAGAAGAAAUCUAUGAUAAACAAGUGACUGCUUAACCUUUUUUUUUAACUAUCGCUAAUAAAAUAAUAUACAUGUCAAAUAAACAAAUUAGACUCCAUUUUCAAUCAAAUUUAUAUGAGACAGAAAGAAAAACUUUUACGAUUCCAUAUAUAAUGCAAAGUACACGAGAAACUUGUAAGCUGAACAUGCCACGCUGCUAGAAAACUAUCUGCAAAAGGAAAUGCAAAUGAAUCUGAAAAGAAUGUCACCACUAUAUCUAUACCUUCUCAAAUAGUAGUUCACUAAGAACCAUACAAGUGCAGUUCCCUAUUUUGUACAGUUACACAAUUAAUAAAAAAAUGUUUGAUUAUUGAUUGUUUUGUAGGAAAUAGAUGGCAGCUGAAUUUUAGAAGGCAUUUCAACAACCGGGAAAUCAAUGUAGAACCAGUCAGUUACUAAAUUCAUUGAAAUCUUAUACUUUGGAUGACAGUAAGAUAGAUUCCCUAAGAUGGAUGGUGGAGAAGAAUGGAAUCUUUUUUGUCAAGAGGUGUAACAACAUGCUGCAGGAAAAGAGUGAUAAUUGGGAAGUGGAGUGGCUAUGGAAGAUGC